rnacentral:rRNA from 1 species
GGGUCAGUAGGUUGGUCGUGCCACCGGUACGUACUGGUCUCACUGAUUCCCCCUUCCUGAAGAACCGUAAUGCCAUUAAUUUGGUGUUGCGGGGAAACAGGACUGUUACUUUGAAAAAAUUAGAGUGUUUAAAGCAAGCUAACGCUUGAAUACAUUAGCAUGGAAUAGUGAAAUAGGACGAUCGAUCCUAUUUUGUUGGUUUCUAGGAUUGACGUA